rnacentral:lncRNA from 1 species
ACACCCCAAACUAAGUAAUGCAACAGCCUGGCUUUCCACCAUGCCUGUUGCUGCACAUCAUCAAGCUCGCAGAGUGCAUAUGGACGCAUCUACAGUUCUUGAAAAGCUUGGUUCACUGGUUUCACAGCCUCCAGACAAUAAUCUGUUUGGAGGAGCCUGUGCGUCCACGUCUCAACAAUAUGUUAGGCAGAUAGUUGGGCCUUUGCACCAAUUGGAAGUGUCAAAGCAAAGCUCUCGUCAGAGCGUCUACUUCCAAGCUGUGCAAGAACCUGAGGAGCAGCAACCCUGCCGCCAACGCGCUGGCCGCGGUGCGCAACAUUUGGAGCCUAUAAUUUGGAAAGACUCCUCGGCAUCAAUCGGCGCCUCGCUCCUGUCAAAGCUGGAGGCUGCAGACAGGCGACGACGUGGAGGCGCGCGCGCGCGGACGCUGACGGUCCUCUCUGGAAAUCCGCGCUCGGUGGUUCAGACGAGGCCAAAGACGGGAGGCUUCUCCCAGCCCUGGUCCGAUCAGGGGGUCCGUAAGUGCAUGGAGAGCCCGGCCACAAAGGCUAGCAGGCUGAACUAAGCAUCGAGCUAGUAGCAGCUGAUUUGCAGCGACGAUGGAGGACUGGAGUCUGGAACCAUGCACCUCCUGCUCUUUUGUUCUCCCUGCGUCCUGGUGAGGAAGACACAGGAGGGACUGGAGAUCAAAUGCUCUUCUCCUCUGCCUCUCCACCUCUGCGUCUGCUGGCUGCAGAUUCAGCCUCGAGUCUGGAUCCCAGUCAGUCAGAGUGACGUCGCAGCAUCAUCGGCUCAGCUGGCCCUCCUCCUCCUGCCUCCCCCGGCCCCCCGACACCCCUCCAUUCACUUCAAAUCACACCCCCGCGUGAACGUGGCUGUAGAUUCCCUCCAAAUUCUGCCAGUUAUUUACUGCUCCUUUCAUAGCCCGGUGUUAAAUGUUGACAUUCUUCUUAAGGAUCCAUUGGGCAGGGGCGUCCACAAUAUUUUAACUUCUCUAUAUUUUUUGCUGGGGGGGGGGCAAGGGGGAACCCUGAAGUGCAAAUCACACCAAGUCACACUAAAAACUUAUUAUAGAACAUAACAACAAUUAAAAAGCAAAGCAAAUAAUAAAAAAAAAAACAUUAAAACAAAUGAUGAGCCAACUUCAUCAUCCAAUCAGCGAUGUCCCACAGUACCUACCAUCCCGGUUUCCAUAAAAACAGAAUGAAAAAUAUUUUGGAAAACAAAAGCAAAAUGAAAUGUUAAAAAAUGAAAUACAAUAAGAAAUCAGAAAAUUGUACCCUAUUAUCUCACUGAGGCAAAUAUUAAGUGUAAUGUCAGCAAUAACAAUUUUAAAAAUAAAAACAGCUCAUUUUGCCUUUUGUGGUGUGUCUCAACACAAAAUGCAUGAAUCUAACAAACUAAAAUUAAAUCAGAGCUAAUGAAGCAGCCUCCAACAUAAAAAUUCCACUUGAUAAUAUGGUGCGCCUUAAGUAUGAUUUCUUGUUGUGCUAACCAACUUCCAACUGAUUUUCUGUGCCACAGGAGCUCAGAAAUCAGUUUUAGUUAGUUUUAGCACGCCUUUGGUAAACUACGAAAUGAUGAUGGAUUUUUAGAGAAUUACAGCUAACAUAGUCAAGAACUGUACUGUCCUACUGUAUGGGAAUUAGUUGAAUAAAGUUUGAGUUUGUUUACUAGUUUAAUACUUGCUUACUUUUUAAAACGACUAAUCUUUUUUUCUCUUUAACCAAUGAUCCACAUUGAAGGGGUAAAUAGCAGCAUGUGGCUCCAGAGCCUAAGGUUGCAGGACCCCUGCCAUAGACCAAAGAGAGGAAGUGACCCUGAAGGAGUAAACAAUGAAAGAGAAGAAAAGAAAAAUCCACCAACCGCAAGAAUCUGAACAAGAGUUCAUCCUAAUAAAGUUUGAACAUAUGUUGGGUAAAGAUGGGGUAAUGAGGUGGAGGAACUUGUGAGAUUUCUUCUUCAUGCUGUUUUAUCAACUGAGUACUUUCCCUUCCCCCUAGGGAGCAGCCGUAGGAACUGCAGGAUGUUUCUCAAGUUGUUUUCUUUGAAUCUUGCUUCGUCUCAGAAACCAUUGUGUGUUAAAGCAAACCAAACCUGGUAAAGAUGUGAACAUUAUUGACGUUCCUGCCCAUUUGAACUGAAUGAGGCUAUUCUUAUGGUUGAAUUUGUUCACGUUUUAUAUGCGUCUCUAAAAGCUGAUCACAUCGCAUGUGC